UGGUUCAAAUUUAUGACGCUAGUUGAAUGACGUUUAACGGUUCUGUCAUUAUCUUUACCAUCCACGGGGGAAAGCUUAUGCAACGCAUUUCGCAUUUCGCGAGGGGUCAAAGAUACUAUUUGGUAUUCGUUAUGAUGAUAAUGGAUAUGUUCAAUUGAGCGAGAAACUAUUUUUAAAUAGAAACUUGGCACAGCCAAUCGAUAUAGUAAGUACGUUGCAAAUUGGGUCGACGACAAUUCCGAUGAGAUCAUGAAAAGUAUUAUUUGACUGUGAGAUACGAGAAUGAAAGAGAGAAAGAGAAAAAACUUUGCAAAGCGAUCGAUUAAACUCAUUGAUCGACGCACUAAAUUUUAAAGAUAAAAACGCACGAUUUGAAUAGAUUUUAUAAACUACAAAUACUUUAUUUAUAUGAUAAAUUGUAUAGCUUGCGUAUAGAGUCUGCAAAGGCAAACAGAAAUUGUAAUCAACACACACACUUUGUGAAACUGCAGCAAGGCUAAAGAUUAAAUUUAAUGUUAACUGGCAUCCAUCAUCGUCGUCUUCUUCUUUAAAUUAUAAACAUAUUUUUCAAUCUGUUGUGUUGUUUUUUAUCAUCAUCAUUGUAAAUACACUUAUAUCAUUUUUUACGCACGUCACAAAAACAAUUUUUGCUAAAUUGCUGCACACAAAUUAAAAUUCUGAAUAGUUGUUUUUUUUUGCUUAUUUUGGAGGACUGGCUUUAGCCGGAUCUUGUCUAGUUAAUUGUUUGUCGUUUGUUUUUGUUUAUCGUCGUUACAAUAUACACAUACAUUAUACAUUAGAUAUAUAUAGUUGCGUAGGUUUAGUUUCAUUAUGAAAGAGCACUUUAUCAGACUAAAAGAAAUACCCUUAAUACCUUCUAACUCAAAUUAUGUGGAAAGACAUUACAAAAAAAAAUAUAUAUAUAUGUAUGGUAAAACGAAAACAAACACAAUUGAAAACAUUAUGUAACAUAGGUGGUAGGCGGGGCAGGGGCGGUGCAGAAGGUAGAAGGGAAGUCGUCUGGUAUAAGUUGUAGAACAAUAUUUUAUCGUAGUUUUCUUGUUGUUUUUUCUCAUUUAAAGCGUCGUAAUCUUUUUUUUUGUUUGAUAUAAGUAAAUUCAACGCAUUUUGCGGUUUCUUUUUCUUUUUUUGUUGUAGGUGCUGGGAGAGAG